CUACACUCUUUCAAAAUGAGAAAGUCGUAAGAAAUUCAGAAGAGAAGAAGGCACUUUCGCUCCUAAGAGAAAAGGAAGGAAGUAGCGUGAGGUGUGUAGAACUCGUGACAGAGAAAGGGCUACGAGUCUGCGCAGCCUCCUGAAGUCACAGGGUGAGUAGGGAAAACGCAUCAGGGACCGCAGUGAAUGUAAACUCGGAUUGUGGAAUUUCCAGUCGGAGGAGCAAACCAUUUCCCAGAGUUCUGCUUGUGUAUGAGUGCUCUGUGAGAUGUUCUUAGGUGUUUUGUAGAAAAAGUGUUGCUGGUAAAAUUAAUUUGCACAUGAAGCCUCAUUCCUAGAAACUCACAGUGCGCUUUAGCCCAGUAAGGGCUCAGGGCCCGCCGGUACCAAGCCUGUAUUAACCCAGCAUUUCCCGAUCUGUGCGACCCCAGAGCCUUUUUCCCCUUUGGAACACCCCUAUGGACCUCUCCUGAGGUUCACAGAAAACAUUUUGGGAAACACUAUGUUAUGUAUUUCUGUAAGAGGACAAGGCAGUAACUGCCUAGUGGCACAGAGGCAUGUCUGCAUGGAUUUCGUAUGCUCAAACAUUGUGUUUAAUGGAUGUAUACUUCCUCCCCUGGAGACAAUAAGCACAGAAAACUAUCGUAUAGGUGGUCAGAGCUCUUUGAUGAAAGAUCAGCCCUCAAUGUGUCUGGGUUUUUAACUGAAAGGAGCAAAAUUAACACUAGGAUUAAUUGGGGUAAAAAAAUUAAGAUUUUAAGUCAGACCUAGCAGAAGAUUUUGCACAAUCAAAUGCAGCUUUUUAUCCACAAAUAGUUCUAGUGUUUAGAAAUGAUCGGACCUACCACUGAGGUUUAUAAGACUUAAUUUGGAUGUAAAUGUUUUUUAAACCACUCUUUUUAGGAACUUGAGACUUGGCAUCUGGCAUUUCAGUUUAAUACAAAAAUGAUGGCAUUUGAAGGAAACUUUUGACUUUAUUUCUAAACAUCUAAAGUUCUGAGAUGCCUUGAUGGAAGGUGUUAAGCUGUUUGCCUGUUGUACAAAGAAAUGUUAGAUUGUUGUAAAAAGGUUGAUUAUAAAGUACCAUAAAAUAGCAUGGUGUGAUGUUGUGAAUGAACUGAUUUGGAAAUGUGGAUUGAAUUUUACGCCUGUUAAUAUAUUGUAAGAAGCACAGAGGUGUAGCUUGUUUUAAUAAACCAAAAAGUGAAUAUAUUCUUGAUGUUUUGUAUCUGUCGUUAAAAGUUCCCUACAUAAUUCGUUAUACAAACACUUCUUGUUUCACUUCACAUAGACCAUGAUUAAAAUGCUUAUAGGAAACAAUCUUAAAUAAAUUUGUGAACCUGCAGUGCAUGAGUUUAUUAUUGAGCCAGAGCUCUUCAAAUUUGAUCAAGCAUUUGGGUUUGUAGAUAUCUACAGCUUAGCUACUGCCCUUCUCAGUAAAUAUUCACAUCACAGAAAUAUUCUUUGGGUUUCUGUGACUAUUCCUUUAAACAUGGUGCAUCUGUCCUUCUAAUAUGUUUAAGUUUAUAAAAGUAUGAAUGGAAGUCUUGGGUUUUUCCCAAGUUCAUAAUAGUUGCUCAAAAUAGUUUACUCUUUUGACAAAUAGGACAAGUUCUUUAUUGGAGCACUGUUUUCAGUGGAUGCUUUGGAUUGCUCAGAUGCAGCCUUCUGUCGACAGUGUGCCCCCUGGAAAGGGUGUUCAGUGGGUGCCUGGCGACACCAUCCAUGCCCUUGGGGUGCACGACAGCACAUGAUGGAGCUGUGAACCCGAGCAACACCCAGGGCCAUCCCAUCUGUUCUGUGCCAGCCCCUCUGUCUGAACUUUGUACUUUGGCCCCUUUGGUCUCCUCUGGGGUGUUGUUGCCAUGACUUUGCCCUCACCCUUGGGUGUACUUGUUCUUUCCUUUGCAUUAGCAACGUUCUUUUUGCUGCCAAAUAUGGCCUUCACUUGAUCAAAGCAAAAUGCCUCCUUUUACAGCCACUUGUCUUAAACUGGAUGUUAAUUUUGAAGCCUGGUCUUUUCAUGUUUAGUCCUGUAUUCCCUGAUUUUAGUCCUGUUUAUUCCCUUUUUAAACACCUUACCGUCUGUCUGGUACACACACAGCUAGUAAAAUUCUAACCUCCAAAUACAAAGCAUUAUGUUGUCCACAGCACCUGNNNNNNNNNNGUUGGCCAUUAUUAGCCAUCUCUGUAGAUGCCAGCAGAGCUCCUGCACUUUGUGACUUGUACCAGAAAGCUUGGCAUCUGGAUGGUUCUCAGCCCUCAAUCUAGGAAAAGGAAGACUUGUCAAAGUUGUGUUCUGUGUGUGGGUUUUAUAUGGCCUUUCAGAUCAGUUUUUAUUCUUUUUAAAAGGAAUACAGCAGAAAGAGCAUGGGGCCUGGGGAACAGAAUUUAAAGGAUUGACUGGCUCUCUUGGCACAUGCUGGAAGCCUCCGAGCUAGUCACCUCGCCCCAGUGAAUUUGGGUGUCCUCUGUGUUGUAUGGGGACACCUGGAUUUUGAUGAAGUGAGAUGGGGUGAAUGCAGAAGUGUUUUGUAAACUUAAAAGUGUUGCAACUGUGUGGUAUUUGU
rnacentral:lncRNA from 1 species